rnacentral:rRNA from 1 species
CAGUCGCCGCGGGAAUACGAAGGGGGCUAGCGUCACUCGGAAUUACUGGGCGUGAAGGGCGCGUAGGCGGCACGAUUAGUCAGGCGUGAAAUUCCUGGGCUCAACCAGGGGACUGCGCUUGAUACGGUCGAGCUAGAGGAUGGAAGAGGGUUGUGGAAUUCUCAGUGUAGAGGUGAAAUUCGUAGAUAUUGGGAAGAACACCGGUGGCGAAGGCGGCAACCUGGUCCAUUACUGACGCUGAGGCGCGACAGCGUGGGGAGCAAACAGGAUUAGAUACCCCAGUAGUCCCUGUCUCUUAUAC